UACAUUGCUUUCACAUCAUGUUAAGUCACUAACAGUUAGAGGCUCUUAGAAGAAUUACCAUUAUACUUAUUACACUGUUUGAGACUUCUCCUGUUCUAGUUUUCUUCAUACAGUAUAUUUUUCAAUUUAACUUCAAUUGUGAUUCUAUUUAUCACUGUUAUAUAUUUUUACUAUUGGACCAUGAGAAAUAGAUGAAAAGGAACUAUAUGGAUCAACUAUUUUCGAACAAAAUUGGAAUGUAUUUGUACAAUUUAUAGGGUACAAGUUGCUGCAAAUGUGUUCGAGAACUACACCCAAGGGAGAAAUACACCCCCCUCAUCGAAGAGGUUGUAGUUGAUGAACUGUCAUCUGUUGGUCAGGCCAAGAUUUCUGUCCACUGUAAGGAGAACCCUGAGGGUCAAGACGGAAUAGUGGUAUUUGACAUGGAGACAUUUCCCAUCAUCAACUACUUCUGUCUUUCCAGUGUAGAAGACCUUGCUAAAGAUCAAAAACAGAAUAAAUACAAAUCUCAGGGGAAUUAGUUUCUUGUCGACAUCAAUCGCAAAUGAAUAUUCAGGGACAUUUAGAAUGUGAUUGCAUCACAAGAUCUUUCUUCUUUGAUAUGUAUGGUAAUCUAGUCAUGAAAAUGUAAAGCAAUGUGUAAUCAUUAAAUUUAACGUAACAUAACUUUAUUUUUUAAAAUAUUUUCUUGCGUUCUUAGACAAUGUUCUUGGAAAAUAUCAGGUUUUCCCACAUCGUGAGGCCAUUUUCCCCAUAAUAUACUGUAGGUCAAGCCGCAUACACACACACACACACACACACACACACACACACAAACACAAAAUUGGAGUCCUCCGAGCGCAACCCGACAAAAUCAAAGCCAAUCUGAUUUGCUCGCAUUUGCACCACACUGCACAGCUAAAGAGCAUAAAACUAAAACUAUACCUUGUAUUUUCACAAUGCUUCUCAAAACAACAUCCUUUUACGGCUGUCUUGAUGAAAACGUGAGGCGUUGGUCAUUUAAUAUGCAACAUCUCUCUACUUCCACAAUCAACCCCCUCAUCCAGGUUUGAUGCUCAAUCAUGUGGAACGGGAUUGUGAAACAAUAAGAUUUUGCUGUGGGCGGGGCUACGCUGCAUGAAUUGUAGUCUUGAUACACUUCUUGACACUUGAGUUUGGCUGUAAAAUACCAGUAUUUUAUGAGAAAUAAAAAAAGAUUUGCAAGCAACAAACAAACUAAAAAAACAACAACAUUAUAACAGAUGUUUCACGAGUGACCAUAUGCUGCCUUCACGUGUUACCGGAAUUAUCUUAAAUAUGAUUUUCCCACUUGGAAGCUGCACAUGAAUGACCCCUCAAGACAUAAUUAGAACUGAAACUCAAAUAAUUUUUAUAACAGAAUUUCCCAGUUAGGAGAUGUAAAUUUUCAACAUGGUGGAGGAUACUAUGGAGCCCCUUAGAGGACAGGGAGGGAAGGUCUUGCAAUAGUUUUACAUUCCCUCGCAAUAGUUUUGGGUUCCCUCGCAAUAGUUUUGCGUUCCCUCGCAAUAGUUUUGCGUUCCCUCACAAUACGCAAAACUAUUUCAGAAAAGAAUUCCCGCCUUGACCUUUAAGGGGCUCAGUACCGCAGAUUACGGUUUCUGUGGUAAAUGAAAGGUUUUAUUCGUUUUUCUAAAUACAGCUAAUUGUUAGCGCUCGCUGUUUCGGUCAUAUUUAUUUAUGUAUAUCAGUGACCAUUUGAUGCAUAUUGUACAUUUUCACACUGUGAAAAUAGCUUGUAUUUGACCAAAAUUACAUUAUCGUCAGCAAGCUAACUGAUAAUGUAUUAUGGUGUCAAAAUUAAAGUUCCUCAAGUAAUAUGUAUGAAUGAACCUGGCAUCGUCUAUUUUCCUGGUCUUUCCGACAACAAAGUACUUUAAUGCAACAUACUCAUAAUUACCACUUCAGAAGUGGAAAGUAGGGUAAUUCCGAUAGCACAAGAAGGCAGUAUUAGUCCCAGGCAGUUAUGGUUUGACUGGUUAGUAUGGUGCAGUUGGUUGGCCCCUGCUGGUCGAUGCUGUAACUAUACCAUUUUUCUGCCAAAAAGCAUCUUUCUCUACUGAUGGCACAUCGCUGUAAGCAACAUAUUAAAAAUAUUUAUUUUAUAGGUUUUUGCCAUUGCUUCAUUUUUUUAUUGUAAUUUUUUUAGAGCUCUAUAAAGCAGGAAAUUGACUUUUCCCAGUCUUCUGCAUUUGUUGUAACCGACUAGAGACCGCUAGUCAAUAUUUGGGACUAUGUUGACAAUUAAUUCCUGGAAGUUUACAGUAAAAUAUUUACUUACCAA